AUUGAACGUUGGCGGCAGGCCUAACACAUGCAAGUCGAGCGGAUGAAGGGAGCUUGCUCCUGGAUUCAGCGGCGGACGGGUGAGUAAUGCCUAGGAAUCUGCCUGGUAGUGGGGGAUAACGUCCGGAAACGGGCGCUAAUACCGCAUACGUCCUGAGGGAGAAAGUGGGGGAUCUUCGGACCUCACGCUAUCAGAUGAGCCUAGGUCGGAUUAGCUAGUUGGUGGGGUAAAGGCCUACCAAGGCGACGAUCCGUAACUGGUCUGAGAGGAUGAUCAGUCACACUGGAACUGAGACACGGUCCAGACUCCUACGGGAGGCAGCAGUGGGGAAUAUUGGACAAAGGGCGAAAGCCUGAUCCAGCCAUGCCGCGUGUGUGAAGAAGGUCUUCGGAUUGUAAAGCACCUUAAGUUGGGAGGAAGGGCAGUAAGUUAAUACCUUGCUGUUUUGACGUUACCAACAGAAUAAGCACCGGCUAACUUCGUG
rnacentral:rRNA from 1 species